GGCUUUUUUUGCAAAUAGCCCCCUAACAAAUUUUAUUUGCAAAAAUAGCCCUGUCCAAAAUUUAUUUGCAAAAAUGGCCCUGGCCCUGCCACGCCAGCGCCACGUCAGCGCCACGCGGGCAGGGCCUGGGCCAGGUAUUCAAGCUGAACACGGUGAUUCGUUCACCGUGUUUAAACACGGUGAACCAAUCACCGUGUUCAAUAGGAAUCGUUAUUUCUAUUGAACACGGUGAACCAAUCACCGUGUCUAGCACAGUAAUUGGUUCACCGUGUUCGAUAGAAAAUGGUAUUUCUAUUAGACACGGUGAACUAUUCACCGUGUCUAGACACGGUGAACCAUUCACCGUGUUCUCUUUGAAU
rnacentral:lncRNA from 1 species